AAAUAAAUAAAUAAAAUAAAAUUCCAAUGCUUUGUGGAAUUAGGCAACCCACAAGUCUCCUAUGCUCUCGACAGCUAAAGUUAUAAAAUUCCCUAAUCUUUUCAUAUGAAAAGCUAAAGACACGAACCAAUGGUCUCACAUGACAACGAAGGCAUAGAUUUUCAAACACUGAGAAAAUGGAGAUUGCGAUAGGAGAAAUAGUAAGAGGACAACAACAAUAAGCAUAAAAACGUUAGCAUGAAAAGGAGUUGGUGUAAGCCAAGUGCUUUACGAAAAGUACAAGAUCAUUUUUGUCACUUCUUUCUAAAGUGUAAGUGGAAGAAUGAACAUCUACUUCCAACUCUUAUUAGUGGAAGAUUUGACGGAACUAUUAGGGGAAAGGGAAUACCUAGCGACUAUUUCGCAUGGGUUGUCAAUAUGUACCUUAUAGAAAAACUUAGAUAAAUAUUUUGAGAGUGACAUGAAGGAAAAUGAAAAGAAAUAUAAACCUUAAACUAGUUUAGGAGAAAAAGGAAACAAUAAUGUACCUUUAAGAAGAGAAGAAAAGUCUCAAAGAAGGGAACAAUAUUGCAAAAGCAAAAACAUUUGCAGAAAACCCUUGUCAAAUCACAAGAGAUGGUGAUGAAAAAAGGAAACAAAAGGGAGCAGAAAUCCUCAUACAUCAACUGCCUUGAGAUCCAAUGGAUAUGGUUAUUAGUGAAAAGAUACAUAUCGGUCAACGAUAGAGAUUUGCCAUUGGAAUUCAAGAAGCUUCCUUUGACAUGAAAAAGCCAUGCACACUCUACAAGGCAUCUCAACAAAUGAAAGUGCAUCCCAUGUUUAAUCAUUCCAACUGUCUUAUAGGAAGGACUAAUGAAGAGGCCCCUCCACCUUCUUAACAGAAGGAUUGGUGAUUCAAAGAUAAAUGAAAUCAGUGAGAAAGAUUCUGAAAUUUAGAAUUAGCAACCGGCCUCACGUGGUCCGACCUACAACAAUAAUAGUUUGUUUUAAGCCCUAGUCUACUCAGCAAAAUCUUCUCUACAUCAUAAACCAUUUGUCUUGACACCAAAGAACUCCCAUUGAGUUCUCCCAUGAGAAAUUCAAUCAUGGUCCCUCUAAAGUUUUGAUUCUUAAAUUGAACCUUAGAGGGGUACACAUAAUAUGAUCUAAAAUAAGUCAACCCAUAAGAUACUAUCAUAUGAACACGAACCCUUACCCACCGACCUAUAUGAAUGCCCGAAUGUCUAAUUUUAGAGCUUUUAAGAUUAAUGACCCGACCAACCCAAUACGAUUAAAGGCUGCUAGGCUUGAGGUUAAAUUAGCAAGAUACCAAUGACAGAACCUGAGUUUGACUACUAUUUGAAUAAGAACUAACAAGGCAUUAACCUCUAUGGCAUAAAGCAUCCAUGGUUUUCCUACGGAGUCCCUCUUACAACAAAACAUCCAUCUGUUGGUUAACUUGACUAGUCUAAUGCGAGAUCGAAAUCAGUCAAAACCAUGGUUCACUUAAGCCGCGACUGAACUAGACCAAAAUUGGCCGGUUCAAUUCCAGGCCAAAAUUGAAUUUUUUUCACUUAAAAAAUUUUAAAAAAAAUUGAACUAAUGGAUUGAUUAAAACCGAAUCGCAUCGAAACCAUGGAAGAACCUUAGGUAUUGGUCCAAGUUCAUACCCCAAUGAACCGAAAUUGUUAGUUUUAGGUUGGUUUCAAACCAUAACAAGCCCGUGGCCAGGCUUGGCUAUUAUAGGGGGUACUCCAGGCAUAAAUACUAUCUCUUUCGACAGCUCAAAGCUUAAACCAUUUGUAAAACUCAUUAUUACACAUUCUUAAUCAGAUAGCUUCUAAUUGGUAUAAAUAGGAAGAACCAAGAACCAACCGGCAAAGGGGGGGAGGGAGGGGGGGGCGGGUUUCUAGAUCCAUAAUCUAGUAUCAAACACUAAAUUCUCUUAGGUCAUGGAACUAACUCCAUCUCUCUACAAGUCACUAACUUGUGCAUCUAAGAUUCAUCAAUGGGGAACCAUCCACCUUGUUGUAACCUUUUCCUGUCUUGUAGGUACCACUUGGCAAUCAUCUAUAGAGCAUCCACAUUUUCAACUCGUAU
rnacentral:misc_RNA from 1 species